rnacentral:rRNA from 1 species
UUUAAAUGUAAAUAUAAAAAUUAGAGUAGUAAUAGUUAUGUUCUUAAAACUUAAAAAAUUUGGCGGUAUUUUAUUCUAUUCAGAGGAACUUGUUUUAUAAUUGAUAAUCCCCGUUGAAUCUUACUUAAAUUUGUUUAAUUUGUAUAUCGUUGUCAUAAGAAUAUCUUUAAAAAGUAUUAAUUUUCUAGUUUAAAAAUUAUUUUAUAUGUCAGAUCAAGGUGCAGUUUAUAUUUAAGUAAAAAUGAGUUACAAUUAAUUUAUUAAUAACGAAUUAAAUAGUGAAAUUUAUUUAUGAAGGUGGAUUUGAAUGUAAAUUUUUUAAGAUAUUAAAAUUGAUAUUAGUUUUAAAAUGUGU